UACGGAGGAUCCAAGCGUUAUCCGGAUUUAUUGGGUUUAAAGGGCACGCAGGCGGUGCGGCGCGUUUCGCGUGACAGCGGGUGGCUUAACUGCCCGAGGAUGCGAAAGACGGCGGCACUUGAGGGCCAGAGAGGGACACGGAAUUCCGGGUGGAGUGGUGAAAUGCGUAGAGAUCCGGAGGAACACCGAAGGCGAAGGCAGUGUCCUGGCUGGUGACUGACGCUGAGGUGCGAAAGCUAGGGGAGCGAACGGG
rnacentral:rRNA from 1 species